CCUACGGGAGGCAGCAGUGAGGAAUAUUGGACAAUGGGCGCAAGCCUGAUCCAGCCAUGCCGCGUGCAGGAUGACGGUCCUAUGGAUUGUAAACUGCUUUUGUACAGGAAGAAACACUGGUUCGUGAACCAGCUUGACGGUACUGUAAGAAUAAGGAUCGGCUAACUCCGUGCCAGCAGCCGCGGUAAUACGGAGGAUCCAAGCGUUAUCCGGAAUCAUUGGGUUUAAAGGGUCCGUAGGCGGUUUGGUAAGUCAGUGGUGAAAGCCCAUCGCUCAACGGUGGAACGGCCAUUGAUACUGCCAGACUUGAAUUAUUAGGAAGUAACUAGAAUAUGUAGUGUAGCGGUGAAAUGCUUAGAGAUUACAUGGAAUACCAAUUGCGAAGGCAGGUUACUACUAAUUGAUUGACGCUGAUGGACGAAAGCGUGGGUAGCGAACAGGAUUAGAUACCCUGGUAGUCCACGCCGUAAACGAUGGAUACUAGCUGUUGGGAGCAAUCUCAGUGGCUAAGCGAAAGUGAUAAGUAUCCACCUGGGGAUCGUUCGCAGAAGAGANANAANAGAGUAGAGNGNGAGAGAGCGAGGACGACGACGAGGGAGGUAGG
rnacentral:rRNA from 1 species